rfam:Lactobacillus concavus DSM 17758 NODE_4, whole genome shotgun sequence.
UUUAAGUAUCUUUUUCUACCGAAGACUCAGGUGACUUAUGUCUUAAUAUCCUGGCGAGGCCAGAUGAUAACGUCAGUUAACCUCUGUGUCUUUGGGCACAGAGGUUUUAUUUGGUUAAA